UCUAGUGCAGAGGCUCUGGACAGUCCUCACACGUGUUUGCAGCCCCAUCCUGCUACUCACACAUGUGCUGCUGGUGACGCUGACAUUGCUCUUGAAGAAUGUUUUGCCGUUGUUCAAGCUGACUUCAAUAAAGUACUCCCUAAAGCACAGAAAACGCAGAUGGCGAGACCCAGCCCGGAGAGAUGCAGUUCUUGCCCUUGGCCAGUGGACAGCAUGGGUCAUGAGAGGUCAUUCUCCAAACACUUGCAGGUCAACUCAGCAAUGAUGACCAAAGGAGUCUGUUGGCUUAACUCUGAGAGGCAACCUGGAGCAAAGGUACCAUUCCUCGGGCAAUUAUCUCCUGCAUCCUGCCCUCCUCACAGACCCUAGAACACUGCAGAUCCCUGAAUACCUUUGGGGCCACCAAUGAUAGAAGCACGCAGAGUUGACCCUGUGGCCCAGGACCAGCAUCUGGGCUCUGCUUUCCUCUUGCAGAGACCCCUGUGAGUACCCAUCACACCCAGGCCCUGUGCAGUGCUCUGCUGUGUAACAGGAACAGGCAGGCAGAGUCCCUGCUCUCAAGGGACUCACAUUUAGAGAUUGCAUGGGACACAGAAAACAAAAUUUAAAAAAAAUAAAAUAAACAGGACAAAACAGAUGAUAAAGAGUGCACUGUGCUGUGAUGUCCAUGACCAGAGGAGGUGAGGGGACCAGAGGGAAGGGACAGCCGCUUCAUUAUGCGUGACUUCCCUCUCUUGUAGAGCCACA